ensembl:lncRNA
GCCUGGUGGUGUGAGAAAAGCCCACACAUGUUGAAAUUGGUGAUCAGAAUUUUAGGCCUCAUAAAUAAAAAUAUUUGUGAGAAGACUUCUUAUCUUUCCUGAAAUAAAUAAACGAAAUAAUAUUCAUCUCAUUGCAUAGUACUUAGUAACUAUUAACAAGACAUCUCAUCAGAAGGAAGAGGUCUCACUAUUUUAUAAGACAAAUGGUCAUUGAUGAGAAUGAAGGCUGCCUCAGGUGAUGCGGGGUCGGUGAGCCGAGGAGUCGAAAGAAAGAUUUCUUAGACUCUCAAGAUCUGGCAGUAGUGCUCUUUUAUUUAGAGAGUAGAAUAGCAUGGGGACAGGACCCAUGGACAGUCAGAGUUUCUGCUGCCGCCGCUUCUGCUGCCCCCGCUGACAUGGGGACAGGACCCAUGGGCAGGCAGAGCUGGUGUGUGGGGACAGGACCCACGGGCAGUCAGAGCUCCUGCUGCUGCCACUUCUGCUGCCCCCGCUGGCAUGGGGACAGAGCCCAUGGGCAGGCAGAGCUUCUGCUGCUGCCCCCGCUGGCAUGGGGACAGGACCCACGGGCAGUCAGAGCUCCUGCUGCUGCCCCGAGUUGAGGGUUAGGGCUAAAUUUAAGGGAUAGGUAUAUGAUUCAUCUCUUUACAAGACAAAGGAAAGAACAUGAAAAAAAGUUAAAAUGGUAUCGGUGCGGGUGGGGUCUGGUCAUUGGGUGAUCCCAUGACUUUUAGACAAGAAUCAAAUCGGAUUAAGUAAAGGUUAGAAAGGUUAGACGCCACCACCCUAAACCAGUUACAUGAGAUUGCCAGACAGCAACCAACUUAAGUUCUUGCCUUCCCCAUUAAGAGCUUCUAGAGAUAAGACCAUUCCCCCUUCUUCCUGGCACAGAGAGGGAGGCAUCUUCACAGAUAAAGGUUUCCCUUAGAAAUGUAAAUGUUUCCCAACAAAGGGGCAAACAAAUUCCACUCCUUGGAGCCUGAAUCUCAUCUGUAGUUUUAAAACUAACCAGCCUAAAGAAUCCUCAUCAUAAGCCAUUUUAAAAUUAAGCAGCCUAAAAAUCCUCAUCAAUGGCACCGCUCAUCAAGCUACGCUGAGGUGGCAUUCCACAUCCCACAACUAGAAGGACCUGAUGCGGGGUCGGUGAGCCGAGGAGUCGAAAGAAAGAUUUCUUAGACUCUUAAGAUCUGGCAGUAGUGCUCUUUUAUUUAGAGAGUAGAAUAGCAUGGGGACAGGACCCAUGGGCAGUCAGAGUUUCUGCUGCCGCUGCUUCUGCUGCCCCCGCUGGCAUGGGGACAGGACCCAUGGGCAGGCAGAGCUUCUGCUACUGCCCUGAGUUGAGGGUUAGGGCUAAAUUUAAGGCAUAGGUAUGUGAGUCAUCUCUUUUUUAGAAGACAAAGGAAAGAAAAUGAAAAAAGUUAAAAUGGUAUCAGUGCAGGUGGGGUCUGGUCGUUGGGUGAUCCCAUGACUUUUAGACAAGAAUCAAAUCGGAUUAAGUAAAGGUCAGAAGCCACCACCCUAAAUCAGUUACAUGAGAUUGCCAGACAGCAACCAACUUAAGUUCUUGCCUUCUCCAUUAAGAGUUUCUAGGGAUAAGGUCAUCUCUCUUCUUCUUCCUGGUACAGAGAGGGAGGCACCUUUUACAGAUAGAGAUUUACCUUACAAAUGUAAAUGUGUCCCAACAAGGGCAAGUUCCAUUCCCCAGAGCCUCCUUCCCUGUCCCAGUUUACCAAAAGCAAUCAGCCCAAAACAAUCCCGAUGCCAGAGUCAUACCUUGGGGUGGCCAAUUUCAGGUCCCUACAAGCUCAUCCCCCCUUCCUUCACAAAUGCAAAUGUCUCUCAAAAGGGUAAGCAAAAUUCCAGUCCUCGGAGGCUGCUUCUCAUCUGUAGUUUUAAAAGUAACCAGCCUAAAAUCCUCAUCAGACCCACAACUAAAGUAUAUAUACAGCUAUGUACUGGGGGGCUUUGGGGAGAAAAAGGAACAAUAAAAUCUGUAAAAAAAUAAAAAAGGUCAAAUCAAAUUUGAAUGAUCAUUACAAAGAUUUGGUAAGGAACAUGCAUACAAAUGUUAUCGUGCAGACUAGCCCAGAGGUCCCAAUGAAAGAAACCUCACUUGGUGCUGAAUUUGUGAUUUACUCUUUAUUUUUCAAGUUUCACCCUUGAGCUCCCUCAGCUUUAAUUUGGAGAAAAAUUAAGAUAGUUGCUCCUGUAGAUUGUGGGCCUUAUCUUCCCCUUGAACCUCAAAACAUUAUCAUCAAAGUUAUCCACACUCAUCUUUGGAUCUUUUAAUCACUUUUCUAAUGCUUACGGGGAAGGGCAGUAAGAAUUUAGGUAUUAAAGAGGAGCUUUAUAUUUCAGGUAGACAGGCUGCAGGGUGUGCUCGCUGCUCUGUUAAUACCUUGCUCCCCUGUAGUCAUAUCCUGUCCCAGUUCAUGCCAAAGGCAUCGCUUAACAGAAGACAGAGUCUUCAGAAAUUCAACCCUUUGUUCUACUCACUCAACAGCCCAUAAUCUUUCUGAUUGACCAAUACACACUAAUUGCCAUGAAAAAUAGGGAAAAAUACAUAUAUUCUGUGACACCCAGUUCUAGAAAGAAGGCCCUUUGACUUUUUAUAUUACUUCUCCUAGAAUUAAAGAAAUAUCUGUGUUGCUGCUCUCCUCAUAAUUGGACUUACUACAAAUUAUAUCAUGUGCAAUACCAUUCAAACAAGGAUGUAAAAUGGUGGUCAGUGAAGCAGUAUGAUUUUCCCCCCCUUCAAUCAAAC